UGAGGAAUAUUGGUCAAUGGGCGCAAGCCUGAACCAGCCAUCCCGCGUGCAGGAUGACGGCCCUAUGGGUUGUAAACUGCUUUUAUACACCAAGAAAAAUCCCCACGAGUGGGGACCCGACGGUAGUGUAUGAAUAAGCAUCGGCUAACUCCGUGCCAGCAGCCGCGGUAAUACGGAGGAUGCGAGCGUUAUCCGGAUUCAUUGGGUUUAAAGGGUGCGUAGGCGGCUUUUUAAGUCAGUGGUGAAAUCCUGCCGCUUAACGGUAGAAUUGCCAUUGAUACUGAAGAGCUUGAGUACAAUUGAGGUAAGCGGAAUGUGUAGUGUAGCGGUGAAAUGCUUAGAUAUUACACAGAACACCGAUUGCGAAGGCAGCUUACUAAACUGUCACUGACGCUGAUGCACGAAAGCGUGGGGAGCGAACA
rnacentral:rRNA from 1 species